rnacentral:rRNA from 1 species
CCUACGAGUGACAGCAGUGAGGAAUAUUGGUCAAUGGACGAGAGUCUGAACCAGCCAAGUAGCGUGAAGGAUGACUGCCCUAUGGGUUGGAAAAUUCUUUUAUAAAGGAAUAAAACGAGGCACGUGUGCCUUUUUGCAUGUACUUUAUGAAUAAGGAUCGGCUAACUCCGUGCCAGAAGCCGCGGUAAUACGGAGGAUCCGAGCGUUAUCCGGAUUUAUGGGGUUUAAAGGGAGCGUAGAUGGGUUGUUAAGUCAGUUGUGCAAGUUUGCGGCUCAACCGUCAAAUUGCAAUUGAUACUGGCAGUCUUGAGUACAGUUGAGGUAGGCGGAAUUCGUGGUGUAGCGGUGAAAUGCUUAGAUAUCACGAAGAACCCCGAUUGCGAAGGCAGCUUACUAAACUGUGACUGACAUUGAUGCUCGAAAGUGUGGGUAUCAAACAGGAUUAGAUACCCGGGUAGUC